UUUUUUUCGGUCAUCUAGGACUAAGAUGAAGUAAUUUUUAUCACUUUUUAUCUUUAUUUAUUUUUAAAUCAUCAAAUCUUAUCAACCAUGAUUUAGCUUUAGUUUUAAAAUUUAAAACCUGCAUCAAAACUCUACUAAUUUUUGUCAAUCAUGAUUAAGCUUUAUUUCUAAAGCUACAGCACAAAAAUUAAAAACAAAAUCUUUUUUUUUCUUCUGCAAAUUAGGCAAAAAUCAUACAUAUUUAUUAUUUAGGUUGUAAAAUCUAUAAAAUAAAAAAGAAUCUUUUAUAAUAUCGAAAACAGUCGAAAGACGUCGUUUGAUUUUUCUUAACAAAAUAAAUGUCGGUUAAGUGAAAAUUAAUGUUGACUAAUUUUUUACUUAAUUUGGUCCAGUCAACAUAAAUUCAUAUGUUUUUGGAUUAAUGAAGAGUUCCUACUUUUUGGCAAAAGUGUGUAAUUUUAGUAUUUAUUUGAAGUUUUCUCGUAUAAUACCAAAUAAAUUUGAUAAUUAUAGGUAAAACUUAUUACUAUUUCUAUAUUAACUUUUACUAUAAUAUAAACAUUUUAUACAUGAUUUUUAUUACUUUGAAUAUUUAUAAAACUUUAAAUUUUUAAAUAACAGUAAUGUCAUUUAUAUAUUACAUUAAAUAAUAGUAAAAUGUUGAUAA
rnacentral:lncRNA from 1 species